rnacentral:tRNA from 1 species
GCUGGGGCUCAGUGGUAGAGCGCUUGCUUUGCAUGUGUGAGGCACUGGGUUCGAUUCUCAGCACCGCA